rnacentral:tRNA from 1 species
AAAAUUUUAGUUUAAUAUAAAAUAAUCUACUUACAAUAGGUUGAUUACUAUUUUAAAAUUAGUAGAAUUUUU